CCUACGGGGUGCUGCAGUGGGGAAUUUUGGACAAUGGGCGAAAGCCUGAUCCAGCAAUGCCGCGUGUGUGAAGAAGGCCUUCGGGUUGUAAAGCACUUUUGUCCGGAAAGAAAUCCGUCUGGCUAAUACCCGGACGGGAUGACGGUACCGGAAGAAUAAGCACCGGCUAACUACGUGCCAGCAGCCGCGGUAAUACGUAGGGUACGAGCGUUAAUCGGAAUUACUGGGCGUGGAGCUGUAGCACAGAGCUGAAAGCCCCGGGCUCAACCUGGGAACUGCAUUUGGGACUGCAAGGCUAGAGUGCGUCAGAGGGAGGUGGAAUUCCGCGUGUAGCAGUGAAAUGCGUAGAGAUGCGGAGGAACACCGAUGGCGAAGGCAGCCUCCUGGGAUGACACUGACGCUCAUGCACGAAAGCGUGGGGAGCAAACAGGAUUAGAUACCCGUGUAGUC
rnacentral:rRNA from 1 species